GGAGAAAGCAUUAGAAAGCGAUAGCUUUUUUGAUAGAAAGAAAGGACUUGAUAGACUAGCAAAUAAAGAUGAAUUGCCAAGAGAAGGUCUUCUUAGAAAUAAAAAAAGAGCGCUAUGUUUUCGCGAUACUUCUAGCCAUAACUUUUCCUUUCAGGGAGGCGACUCACCAGAAAACCUUUUUCAGUUUUCUAAGGUGCAACAAGAUCCCUUAAAGAUAAAUAAUUUUAAGAAUCAGUUUUUCGCUUUAGAAAAAAAGAAAUAUGACUUUGAAAAGUUAGACUUAAACAAUGAAGUCUCUUUUAA